rnacentral:tRNA from 1 species
GGGCGGGUAGCUUAGCCUGGUUGGAACGUUGAGCAACAUGCGUCCGGCUGAUAACCGGAAGGUCGAGGGUUCAAAUCCCUCCUCGCCCA